AGUCCCUAGCCGGGCGCAGGCCUGGAGCGGGGGAGGCUCAGGAUGGAAGCGUGCGCCCCUGACCUUGAAUGGCCCGAAGCCCAGAAUUCCUACCACGCCCCUGGCGUCCGCGAAGGAGCAGCUAACCUGACCGUACCUGCUCCGGGCCAGGUGGGGGCGGGGGGGUUGAGGCCAGCAGCCUGGCAGAGCGCUGAGGAGGCAGCGUCGAGGCUCCUGCGCGGGAUAAGCCGAGGUUGCCACCGCAGGCCUGGCACGACCAGGGCCCGGAUGCCCCGCCCGGCCCGGCCCCCGCGCGCACAGGUACCUGAGACGAUUUCAACUGAAGUAAUGAAGGCAGUGUCGUGCUGUCGAGAGAAAGGUGGAUCCCAACAACAGGAAACUACCUAAAUCACCGACCAGUUCUGGUGCUGCCCGCGCGGAGCUGCCUCGCCCGCCGCCGCCGCCGUUACUGCCGCCGCCGCCGCCAAAGGAGAACCCUGUGAUCGCGCCCGGCCCCUCGCCAACCUGCGCCCGCCGCUGUCACUGUGUGUUCCGGGCUGCCGCUAAGGCAUCACGGAAGGAGAAGCCACCGGCCCCGGUUUGACCCUUUUAUGCAUGUAACUUCACAGUAUAAAGGAAACCCAACAGUGUCUCCCUUCUCUAGUCUAUUCCGCUUGCCCCAGCCCUCCUUGGCUUCCGUGAAUUUUAGAAAGAAAAAAAAAGAAAAGAAAAGAAAAAAGGGAAAAACGAGGAAAAAAACCUCCACAAGAUAGAGAGAAUUAUGGUGUGCUUGUUGUGUUACCAGUGGUAACAAUUAUUUAAUGACAAAAAAUCCACUAAAUCUGCAGGUAUAAACAAAACAACAUAUGAUUAUUUAUCUACAGCCAGAAGGGCAUGGAAAUUCAGAGUGAAGUAAUUUAGUUCCACAAUGCGAGACCUUACACAAACUGGAAGAGAAGUUUCCUUCUCCUGGUCAUUCUUUUCUUCCUUUAAAGCUGGGAUAUCUUACAGAGGAAGGAAAAAUUAAUCUUUCUGACUUUCUCAGUUUUGCCAAUCAGCCCACGUCAAGCCCUUUUACCAACCUGCGUGUCCAUGCCUGCAAGCCCUUCUCUUUGCCAAGGAAGAAAGGAAGAAAGAAAAAAGAGACCCAGGGGCCUGUAUCCCCUGAUUAAACACAGCCCAGCACUCCAGGCAGGCAAGCCCGGUGGCAGCUCCUUGCACCAUUGACCUCAGGCCAGACACCUCAGCUGCCUACAAUGCGACCUCCGCCUUCCGGCUAGGUUUGCCGGCCCUGCAGGAAACCAGCUCGACCAGGAGGACAGAGGCCAUUUCAAGCAGUGGAACCCCAAGACAGCAAACCAUCCCUGUCGCCGCUUUACAUUUAGGACAAUAUCUCUGUAUAUAGAAUUUUAGCGCUAUAUGGCUUUUUCCCCCAGAAAACAACAAAUAAACCAGCACCAAGCAAACAGAAAAAGAAACAAAAAGUCAGAACAAACCAGCCCUGCACAGAUGUAACAGCCAGCGAGAUGGUGAGUGUGGGAGGGAGGAAUGGGGCUCCGGCACAGGUGCGAGUUCCUGGGCAGAGCCGAAGACAGAGGGGGCAGAACGGCCCUCUGGAAGCGAAAAGAACCGCAUUGCCUGGAGCUUCAUCAGGAAAAAUUAAAGUUGGCUGUGAGCUCCCGGA